rnacentral:rRNA from 1 species
GAUGAACGCUGGCGGCGUGCCUAAUACAUGCGAGUCGAGCGAACAGACGAGGAGCUUGCUCCUCUGACGUUAGCGGCGGACGGGUGAGUAACACGUGGAUAACCUACCUAUAAGACUGGGAUAACUUCGGGAAACCGGAGCUAAUACCGGAUAAUAUAUUGAACCGCAUAGUUCAAUAGUGAAAGACGGUUUUGCUGUCACUUAUAGAUGGAUCCGCGCCGCAUUAGCUAGUUGGUAAGGUAACGGCUUACCAAGGCAACGAUGCGUAGCCGACCUGAGAGGGUGAUCGGCCACACUGGAACUGAGACACGGUCCAGACUCCUACGGGAGGCAGCAGUAGGGAAUCUUCCGCAAUGGGCGAAAGCCUGACGGAGCAACGCCGCGUGAGUGAUGAAGGUCUUCGGAUCGUAAAACUCUGUUAUUAGGGAAGAACAAAUGUGUAAGUAACUAUGCACGUCUUGACGGUACCUAAUCAGAAAGCCACGGCUAACUACGUG